rnacentral:lncRNA from 1 species
GGAUCAUUCGUUCUAGGGUGGAUUAAUAGCGACGAAUGUAUGUUGUUGCAAUUUUGUUGAGAUAUGCUCAAAGAUUAGCACUAAAUUUAAAUUUUACUACCUCUGUUUCUAGAUGUAGGAUUUAGGAACAGAGGGUCUACAUGUUUGUAGAUGUUAACUCUCUGCCAUACUGUAUUCUUUUUCAGAAUUUUUAGAACAUCUGAAAUAUGGUUUUCACUUGGUUCCCAUUUUAAUAUGGAUACUGAGUAGUGAGACGUUAAUAUUUUACAUGUUUGUAGAAGAAUGACACUUCUUGCCUCUUUGGCAAAUAUGAGUAGUGACAGACAUAUAUUUCAUUUAAUCUUACCUGCAAGAAGAGUCCGUUUGGCACCAUAAUCCGCAUCCUGUCCUUGCCGGCGUUGCGCACUAACCGAAACGUCUCUGACUUCCCCGGGGACGUCGCCGUGGCCACCACCAAGCCGUCACUCUGAACGCCCACGAACUGGUUGCCAAACACCUUCAAAUUGAACGUCGUCUCAUUGAUCCGCCAUAGCAAUCCCUUUUCUAUCUUCAGUUUAUAUUGUAUGAGGAGUACUAAUGAACAAGUUUUGUUCACCCACUCAUUCUUGCUUCAGCUUCACCACUUUUGUUGGUGGUGCAUAAUCACAACCACCACCAGCAGACACUUGUUGGACCUACCCUCAAACUAGUUCCACAAAUAUGCCUCACUGUACCAACCUUCUACAGCAGUACAAUCACGAUAAUUUCUACUAGUUCCACAAGAAAAUUCAUUUCUUUUCUCAUGUGAUUUUGCUCAUGCCAUAUAGAUAUUAAUACUCACCAGUUUAUGACAUCUCUGCAGCAGCAGCAGCAGCAGCAGCACCAACUCGUUCAAGGGACAGGGGCUGCUUCUUCCUUCCCACCAACUCGUACUGGUUCCUUCGGGGUGCUUCUGAAUCGAUCUGCACAGCUGAUUUUUGCCUAUUGCUCUGUUUGCCUGCAGGGGAGGUACCGCUGGAGCUCUAAGGCGGCCUUAAACACCACCGAUCUGGUCGGAGGUUGGGCAGAUAAGGCCCUGCGUCUCCUGCUCCUUCCCAUGUACGUGUUCAUCCCAGUCUCUGACUCUUUGUCCAGACUUAACUACAUAGCGGCUACCUAGUAUGGAUAUGCUUACGAGCUAGCCGGAUUGGAUUAUGUAGCCUAUCUCAAUGCUUAAUUAGUCUGGCGGUUUGUUGCACGCAUACAUGCAUGCAUCAUGGUAGAGAAUUGAAAUCACUAGCUCUAGCUACUUCGUGGUUGAAUGGUUUUCUUAUUUGGAUGAAAACCAGGUAGUGUAGUUAUUUUUUAUAGUUUAUACACAUACUACACUAUUAAUUAAAGGUUGUAACCUCACUGUCACGCUAAUGGACGCAAAAAAUAAGAGUGGUAGUACUAUCAAUGGUUCAGUCAGCGCCUCAACAGCGUCUGCACUACUUCUGAUACUGUUUUUCAGUAGCUUUUUUCUGCACCUUUUUCUUUCAGUUCUUAGUGCUGCUGCCCCAUGAACACAUUUUUUUAAUUUGACUGUACAUUCAAAUGAAGCCUUUGUUAAGUAUACACUCCAAAAUUCAGUCAACAGUAGCCUAACUGAAUUUUCUGUUUCUGAAUUUAUGAACUCGCUUUAUAUUCAGUUUAUAAAUUAACAGUAGCUUCAAAAUUAAGUAUCAUUCGCAUGGAUCAACUGUUAUUUUAUUUUGUGGAGGAUAAAGUUCAGAUCAUGAAUAAUGGCAUUACAAGUGAACCUGGCACAAUUACACAUGUCCUAAACCUCAUAGAAUCUGACACUAGCAAGUCUUCAUUGGCAUGCAAGUACUACUUUUACAUUGUCAUGACAGGAACAAUUAAUUUGACAUGUAUCAUUGGUACUGCUAAAACAUUUCGUUCAUGUUUCAACAAAUUUGGUGAAGACCACUUCAUAUGUAUUUUGCAUAUAUGAAUUAUCUCCUGUUGCUUUCUAAGAUGUUAGUUCUUUCAGUUCUAGCCCUCCUAUCUUUAAUUCCUGGCUGCUGGACUACCUGCAGUACAACGAGUUCAUCUGUGACAGCUAUCGCUGUGAGC